rnacentral:miRNA from 1 species
CAUAUAUAUAUACACGGAUUUGAUCUCUUGCCAUAUUGAUCUCUUGCCAUAUAUAAAUAUGGCAAGAGAUCAAAUUCGUGUAUAUAUAUGUAUUC